rnacentral:rRNA from 1 species
AUGAACGCUAGCUACAGGCUUAACACAUGCAAGUCGAGGGGCAUCAGGAAGAAAGCUUGCUUUCUUUGCUGGCGACCGGCGCACGGGUGAGUAACACGUAUCCAACCUGCCCUUUACUCGGGGAUAGCCUUUCGAAAGAAAGAUUAAUACCCGAUAGUAUAAUGAUUCCGCAUGGUUUCAUUAUUAAAGGAUUCCGGUAAAGGAUGGGGAUGCGUUCCAUUAGGUUGUUGGUGAGGUAACGGCCCACCAAGCCUUCGAUGGAUAGGGGUUCUGAGAGGAAGGUCCCCCACAUUGGAACUGAGACACGGUCCAAACUCCUACGGGAGGCAGCAGUGAGGAAUAUUGGUCAAUGGGCGCUAGCCUGAACCAGCCAAGUAGCGUGAAGGAUGAAGGCUCUAUGGGUCGUAAACUUCUUUUAUAUAAGAAUAAAGUGCAGUAUGUAUACUGUUUUGUAUGUAUUAUAUGAAUAAGGAUCGGCUAACUCCGUGCCAGCAGCCGCGGUAAUACGGAGGAUCCGAGCGUUAUCCGGAUUUAUUGGGUUUAAAGGGAGCGUAGGUGGACUGGUAAGUCAGUUGUGAAAGUUUGCGGCUCAACCGUAAAAUUGCAGUUGAUACUGUCAGUCUUGAGUACAGUAGAGGUGGGCGGAAUUCGUGGUGUAGCGGUGAAAUGCUUAGAUAUCACGAAGAACUCCGAUUGCGAAGGCAGCUCACUGGACUGCAACUGACACUGAUGCUCGAAAGUGUGGGUAUCAAACAGGAUUAGAUACCCUGGUAGUCCACACAGUAAACGAUGAAUACUCGCUGUUUGCGAUAUACAGUAAGCGGCCAAGCGAAAGCAUUAAGUAUUCCACCUGGGGAGUACGCCGGCAACGGUGAAACUCAAAGGAAUUGACGGGGGCCCGCACAAGCAGUGGAGUAUGUGGUUUAAUUCGAAGCAACGCGAAGAACCUUACCAGGUCUUGACAUCCAACUAACGAAGUAGAGAUACAUUAGGUGCCCUUCGGGGAAAGUUGAGACAGGUGGUGCAUGGUUGUCGUCAGCUCGUGUCGUGAGAUGUUGGGUUAAGUCCCGCAACGAGCGCAACCCUUAUCUUUAGUUACUAACAGGUUAUGCUGAGGACUCUGGAGAGACUGCCGUCGUAAGAUGUGAGGAAGGUGGGGAUGACGUCAAAUCAGCACGGCCCUUACGUCCGGGGCUACACACGUGUUACAAUGGGGGGUACAGAAGGCAGCUAGCGGGUGACCGUAUGCUAAUCCCAAAAGCCUCUCUCAGUUCGGAUCGAAGUCUGCAACCCGACUUCGUGAAGCUGGAUUCGCUAGUAAUCGCGCAUCAGCCACGGCGCGGUGAAUACGUUCCCGGGCCUUGUACACACCGCCCGUCAAGCCAUGGGAGCCGGGGGUACCUGAAGUACGUAACCGCAAGGAUCGUCCUAGGGUAAAACUGGUGACUGGGGCU